rnacentral:rRNA from 1 species
AACGAACGCUGGCGGCAUGCCUAACACAUGCAAGUCGAACGAUGCUUUCGGGCAUAGUGGCGCACGGGUGCGUAACGCGUGGGAAUCUGCCCUUGGGUUCGGAAUAACAGUGAGAAAUUGCUGCUAAUACCGGAUGAUGUCUUCGGACCAAAGAUUUAUCGCCCAGGGAUGAGCCCGCGUAGGAUUAGCUAGUUGGUGGGGUAAUGGCCUACCAAGGCGACGAUCCUUAGCUGGUCUGAGAGGAUGAUCAGCCACACUGGGACUGAGACACGGCCCAGACUCCUACGGGAGGCAGCAGUGGGGAAUAUUGGACAAUGGGCGCAAGCCUGAUCCAGCAAUGCCGCGUGAGUGAUGAAGGCCUUAGGGUUGUAAAGCUCUUUUACCCGGGAUGAUAAUGACAGUACCGGGAGAAUAAGCGCCAGCUAACUCCGUG